rnacentral:rRNA from 1 species
UUCCUACGGGAGGCAGCAGUGGGGAAUAUUGCACAAUGGGCGCAAGCCUGAUGCAGCGACGCCGCGUGAGGGAUGACGGCCUUCGGGUUGUAAACCUCUUUCAGUAGGGAAGAAGCGAAAGUGACGGUACCUGCAGAAGAAGCGCCGGCUAACUACGUGCCAGCAGCCGCGGUAAUACGUAGGGCGCAAGCGUUAUCCGGAAUUAUUGGGCGUAAAGAGCUCGUAGGCGGUUUGUCGCGUCUGCCGUGAAAGUCCGGGGCUCAACUCCGGAUCUGCGGUGGGUACGGGCAGACUAGAGUGAUGUAGGGGAGACUGGAAUUCCUGGUGUAGCGGUGAAAUGCGCAGAUAUCAGGAGGAAC